rnacentral:rRNA from 1 species
UACGGAGGGUGCAAGCGUUAUCCGGAUUCACUGGGUUUAAAGGGUGCGUAGGCGGGCAUGUAAGUCAGUGGUGAAAUCUUCGGGCUUAACUGUAAAACUGCCAUUGAUACUAUAAGUCUUGAAUCAGGAUGAGGUGAGCGGAAUAUGUCAUGUAGCGGUGAAAUGCUUAGAUAUGACAUAGAACACCAAUUGCGAAGGCAGCUGGCUAAACCUUUAUUGACGCUGAGGCACGAAAGCGUGGGGAUCAAAC